UCCCUCUCAGUAUCUAUCUAAAUGCAUUGAUCCUGCUCUGAUUUGAUGGAUUCGGAUUCGUUGCCGUGUUGGUCGCACGCAGCACUAACAGAGAUUUGAUGCUUUUCUCUGUGACUGUCAUAAAACCUGGAAACCUGUCAGCCAGGGUUUAGACAGAUCUGAUGCUGAACAUGAUCGAUCCGGGGAAGUGAGAGCGGCCAAUGAACCCAGCGGAGGCGCGAAGAGGAGGCUGAGCUGUCAAACAGGGAGAAAUACACGGAUCGUACUCACCUAUUACACAAGGUGCGUCGUAGCGUCGGGUACUCGUCGUAUCCGAGGGGAAAUGAGCGCUUCACAGGAUCCAGGCGCACAUGUUGCCAGUCACCGCGGGGGAAAUGAGCCAGUGGCGACCGGGCAGCGAGGCUGCAGGAGCGGGCUGUGACUGUGGGUCCCCCCCGGGCCCCUGGGAGGCGACACGGUGUGUCCGGGCGCUGGAUGAGAUGCGCAGGGCGCCACCACUCGCUGGACCUCCGGGGACGCACCACUCUCUCUCCUCUCUUCUCUCUCCCUCACUCUCUCUCAGCCUUGACGCCGUAAAUAACGGGACGUGCACAGCCUCUCUCCGCCUUCACGGCUGCGUGAUCCGCGGCCGCCGGUGCCGCUGGAAGCUGGAACCGCGGUGCGCAACUCCGAGGCGCGCAGGACGCCGGUGCCAGGAGGGUUCGUGUGGCGAGUGGACGGACUGGGAAUGUUAAUGAGGACUGCUGCAGAGUUUCCUCCCCGAGCGGAGACUCAUGCUCCCUCUCUCUCUCCCUCUGUGUGUGUCGGUGUCUGUGUGUGUGUGUGUGUGUGUGUGUGUCCCGACAGGAGAAGCUGAAAGUUGCCUCACUGUGGAGGACGAGCAGCGGGAUGAGGAGCGAUGAAGGCGUCAGUGAAACGAGACUCCUCCACCAGGUCACCUGGAGAGAGAGGAGGAGGAGAAGGAGGAGGAGGAGGAGGAGGAGCAGGAGGGGGUGCAGCUCACCUCCAGGAGGCACCUGUUGAAUGAGAGCAGCUCAGAGACAUCCUGUUGAAAUGUCCCCUCUACAAUAUGUCCCUGUUAUUGUGCAGCUUCACAUUAAAGCUGCAGGAAGAACAGAAUGUUCUGCACAGACACUGAACAUGAAUGUGAACAGGUUGGAUGAUUCAUCCUGUUUUAAAUCGUUAACUUCUCUCAAAAUACUUCUGGCGUCAUCUGAAAUCCUACAAAUUGUUUUGUCUUUAUUUCAUUAUCGUCUAAAAUUCUUUUAAAAAUACUGUUUGGCUCUUGGUCGUACAUGAUUUGCGAUUCGUGCAGAUAAUCAUUUUACAAAUAAAUCCACUAAUUUUGUGCCCUGAGGGACUCCUAAAUGUUAUUUUAGUGCAAACCUCUACAAGUGACCUAUGUGAUAUACAUAUACAUCAUGUGUGCCCCCCCCCCCCCCCUCUGUCAGUCCAGCUCGUCCUCCUCUAACUCCGUCACCUCUCAAACAGCAGCUCAACACAUGAGUCUGUCAGCAGGUCCUGUCCACACUGAGGUUAAACCACUUAUCGUCCAUAUGGAUGGAAACUGGGUCGACUGACCUCGGCUGACACCCUCGAAGGAAACUGCAUCACUGCAUCAAAGCCCUGAAUCAGCAGCAGAUCACCUGUGAUAUUCAUUGUGUCUGGAUCAGACUGUGAGGAUCCACUGCCCCCUACAGGUUGGGAAACACCAUUGCACGCAAUUACAAAACGUGACUCAACAUUUUCUGCAGACUGUCGUGUAGUCGUUCAUCACAGCUGCAGUCUCACGGUGCAGCUGCAGUGCUCCAAUAUGGAUACGACAGAAUGGAAGAAAAAGUAACAGUGCUAUAUUUAUUUUAUUUAUAUACAUGACAUUUGGUAUGAAAUUCUCAUUUUACAAUCUUCUUCCCAGAGGAUCAUGGUGACGCAUGUUCAGGAGUUUCAGUUCAGACGACUCUUUUUCAGCCUGGACGAGUCGGCGGCUGCUUUGCGUUUACGUGACGGCGUGUCGGGAGUUUCCUCCGGGCGAGCGUCAGUCAGGAAGUACGGCUCGAAAUGUGGAGUGGGCUCCUGGAGGGAAGAAAGAGAGAAAGGGCCGCGUCAGCACGAUAAUGUUCAAUUCUCAGCAGUAUUGACACUGACCUAAAACCUAUAGAGUCAUUUGACGUCAAAAUAAAUUCAAAACAUUCCAAAGAAACCUCCAGAAGUCCAGUGAUCGUGUGUAUUGACCUGCAUGAGGUAGUCUGCGAUGUACUCUGGCUUCAGACAUGUGACACCAUCUGCCGUGGCCUCUGAUACGUCCACUCUGAAGUCUCCAGGCUUCAGUCGACUGAAGUCGGCGAACAGUUUCUUUGAAGGACAGAUUCUCGACUGAGCAACUGCACGAGGGGGCGAAGGACACAUGAUUUCAGAUAUGGGACAACAAAUAAAUAAAACACCGACCUUUGCUCCACCCGACUGCAGCAACCGCCUGAAGCCGGAUUCUCUGUUCUGGUCGAUGUUCAGCAUGACCGUCCAUCCACUGAAGGCCCCCUGAGAAACACAAAGAGCAUCCGUGCAGAGCCUUCCUCCAGCGCAUGGCAGCCAAUGCCAGUCGUCUCUGCUGGGAGUUGAUGGAGGGUAGCGCGUCCAGGAUGGAGCUGCUGCCCCACUCAUAGUCAUCCUCCUGGAACAGACACACACAAU